ACAAGGAUCACCAUUCCAACCCAUUCUAUCAGGAACACGAAGAGACUCUUUCAAUGCUCUCAUAGCAACAACUUGCUCAGGAGCGGUGGAGAUAUCAUUCGGAACCAGAGCAUAAUUCUCGAUUCCACUAAUCAGUGGCACCCCCACAACCGGCAUUAGCUUCACAGUCAACUCAGUACUGCUCAGAUUGUGCGCCGUAUACUGUAAACUAUAGGCCGCGAAGCUCCCAACCUGCGC
rnacentral:misc_RNA from 1 species